UGCAGUCGAGCGGAAACGACAACAUUGAAUCUUCGGAGGAUUUGUUGGGCGUCGAGCGGCGGACGGGUGAGUAAUGCCUAGGAAAUUGCCUUGAUGUGGGGGAUAACCAUUGGAAACGAUGGCUAAUACCGCAUAAUGCCUACGGGCCAAAGAGGGGGAUCUUCGGACCUCUCGCGUCAAGAUAUGCCUAGGUGGGAUUAGCUAGUUGGUGAGGUAAUGGCUCACCAAGGCGACGAUCCCUAGCUGGUCUGAGAGGAUGAUCAGCCACACUGGAACUGAGACACGGUCCAGACUCCUACGGGAGGCAGCAGUGGGGAAUAUUGCACAAUGGGCGAAAGCCUGAUGCAGCCAUGCCGCGUGUAUGAAGAAGGCCUUCGGGUUGUAAAGUACUUUCAGUUGUGAGGAAGGGGGUAACGUUAAUAGCGUUAUCUCUUGACGUUAGCAACAGAAGAAGCACCGGCUAACUCCGUGCCAGCAGCCGCGGUAAUACGGAGGGUGCGAGCGUUAAUCGGAAUUACUGGGCGUAAAGCGCAUGCAGGUGGUUCAUUAAGUCAGAUGUGAAAGCCCGGGGCUCAACCUCGGAACUGCAUUUGAAACUGGUGAACUAGAGUGCUGUA
rnacentral:rRNA from 1 species